rnacentral:lncRNA from 1 species
GGUCCCUUUUGAAAUGGCAGAAAGUCAGGUUUAUUUUUUAUUUUUUGGACAAACUACUCAAGGAGUUUCGUCCCCGGCAACCAGAAUACAUUUUCAGAGAAUUCUGCUUUUGUAGAAACGUAUGAAUCAUUGUGCUGUGCAGUAAGGAUGAAUAUUCUGCAGGCCUACAGGCCAGAAAAAGCUGUUUCGUAUUAGUCUUGGAUAUGAGAGAUCAUCUCUUCUGUGUUGUAUUUUACUACCAAAUAUCAAGAGUCAUACAUUUGGACAAAAAAGUACAACUUCCUUUAAUCCUAUCCAACACAUUCAACUGAUGAUAACGCGUACCAUUUCAACAUAACUACAGGCCCAGUCCAAGUCCUAUUUUUUCUACUAGAUCAGGGCAUGUCUCAUAAUAUUGCCUUUUUCGCUCAGCUCGGCUCGUCUGUGGGCACCAGGCCUCGGUGGAGACGAGUGAUUAACUAACUGUGAUGUGAGGAUGAGGGAGUUUCUGGACAACGGAAACGAAAACAUGCGUAACCCCUUGGAACGCGAAGGAGAAGAAGUAUUCGGUUUCUCCGCUCAGUUCUGACUGAAGUUAUAUGCGUUGAUACAGCCGAAGCCUGUGUAUUGCUAAAGAGGAGGACGAUGGUAUAGGACUUUUGCUGAUGAUCAGUAAUGAGCCAGUCAAGACAGCUAGGCUACUUCAGGAGCUGCUCAGACAGUCAUUCAACCUGCAGCCACAAGUUCCAGUGGGGAGCAAUGAGAAUGGCUAUACCACAGGGAGACUGCAUGCACUGUCUCUCCAACGAACAGUGAAAAGGGAAUCCCAUAAUUCUCACAGCAAUAAAAUGUUUUAUGGGCAAAAAUAGAGAAUCACUGGAAUUUUUCUGUCCAUAUUUCUGGAUAACCACACUGACUGAACAGACCAAGUCUUAGUGCUUUAACGACUAGAAAACAAUGACCAGAAUAAGCCAGUAAGUGGUCUGCAGUAAAUGUCUGACAGAAAUAAAUGACUGUCUAAUUGGGAAAAUGUUUCAAAUGUCUAAUUGGGAAAAUUCGUACAUGUUUGUUGCAUAUAAUAACAAGUUAAGAAAGGGUAACGCAUCGUGCCAAACAACAGCCCUUCGCUGUGGUACAUUCACAAUAUAACAUGGCCCCUUGGGUCUCAUUGCUUAAAUGUUCAUUUUUAAAAUUGUUUUAUUUCAUCUUUAUUUAACCAGGUAGUGCUAGUUGAGAACAAGUUCUCAUUUACAACUGCGACCUGGCCAAGAUAAAGCAAAGCAGUGCAGCACAAACAAUAACACAGAGUUACACAUGGGAUAAACAAACAUACAGUCAAUAAUAGAAUAGAAAAAGUCUAUAUACAGUGUGUGCAAAUGAGGUAGGAUGAGGUAAGGCAAUAAAUAGAACAUAGUGGCGAAAUAAUUACAAUAUAGCAAUUAAACACGAGUGGUAGAUGAAUGUUAGCAUUGUGUACAAGUAGUGAUGGGGGAAAACUUGCUACAGUUACAUAGCGUGAUAUUAUUUUGGACGAUAUGAACCUGAGGGGGCUGAAAGGGGGGCUGAAACUGUGGACAUCUUAAAACGCAUCUUUGUAGGGUUGCUUUUCCUCAGGGUGAUUUUUAGUGUCCGUUUUGUGUCAUUCUUUUGUUUUUUAUCUUAUGUUUGUUGUGUAGUAAAUAUUUCAGCUUUUAUUUUCAUUGUUUUUUUUUUUUUUUUUAUCCUGUAAAGCACAUUGCAUUGCAUUCCAUGUCUGAAAUGUGAUGUAUAAAUAAAGCUUGAUUUGAC